AUUGAACGCUGGCGGCAGGCCUAACACAUGCAAGUCGAACGGUAACAGAAAGCAGCUUGCUGCUUUGCUGACGAGUGGCGGACGGGUGAGUAAUGUCUGGGAAACUGCCUGAUGGAGGGGGAUAACUACUGGAAACGGUAGCUAAUACCGCAUAACGUCGCAAGACCAAAGAGGGGGACCUUCGGGCCUCUUGCCAUCGGAUGUGCCCAGAUGGGAUUAGCUAGUAGGGGGGGUAACGGCUCACCUAGGCGACGAUCCCUAGCUGGUCUGAGAGGAUGACCAGCCACACUGGAACUGAGACACGGUCCAGACUCCUACGGGAGGCAGCAGUGGGGAAUAUUGCACAAUGGGCGCAAGCCUGAUGCAGCCAUGCCGCGUGUAUGAAGAAGGCCUUCGGGUUGUAAAGUACUUUCAGCGGGGAGGAAGGGAGUAAAGUUAAUACCUUUGCUCAUUGACGUUACCCGCAGAAGAAGCACCGGCUAACUCCGUG
rnacentral:rRNA from 1 species